CCGCCUCGAUUUCUUCACUCUCCAUUAUCUUCUACAAUGGCGUCCAUCGCCGCUCCUGGUCUCGCACUUUCCGUCCACCGUUCACACCGCCGGCUCACUCCUGCCACCGCAACCACCACCACUGCUGCCUCUGUCCCUUCACUUACAAUCAAAUCCAAGCAUCCUACAUUCCCUUCCUCCCAAAACCCUAAACCCUCAUCCUCACGCCCCCGCGACAAUUUUGACAUUUUGGGCUCGAAAAAGCUCCAAAAUAUCGUAAAAACC
rnacentral:lncRNA from 1 species